rnacentral:rRNA from 1 species
CACUAUGCCUAGCCCUAAACAUUGACAGUUAAUUACACCCACUGUCCGCCUGGGAACUACGAGCACCAGCUUAAAACCCAAAGGACUUGGCGGUGCUUUAGACCCACCUAGAGGAGCCUGUUCUAGAACCGAUAAUCCCCGUUAAACCUCACCCUUCCUUGUCAUUUCCGCCUAUAUACCACCGUCGUCAGCUUACCCUGUGAAGGCCUAAUAGUAAGCGCAAUCGGCAAUGCCCAAAACGUCAGGUCGAGGUGUAGCGAAUGGAAGGGGAAGAAAUGGGCUACAUUUACUAACACAGUAAAUACGGAUGAUUACCCUGCAACGAGUAUCUGAAGGAGGAUUUAGCAGUAAGCAAAAAGCAGAGUGUUUUGCUGAAAUUGGCCCUGAAGCGUGCACACACCGCCCGUCACUCUCUCCGAACUAAAACUUUAAACAUAACUAAUAUGCUAUAACUGUAAAGGAGAGGCAAGUCGUAA